AUGUCUGGAAGCAUGGGAGAACGCUCUUCUGCUUAUAUUAUUACCAGUAUUCGAUACUGGGUUAUUCAUAGCAUUACUAUACCUUCCUUAUUCAUUGCGGGUUGGUUAUUCGUCAGCCCGGCUUUCACUUGGAACAACUAUGGAAGUCCUCGGCCAAACGAAUAUUUCACGGAAAGCCGACAAGGGAUUUUCUUAAUAACUGGGCGCUUUGAUUCUUUGGAACAACUCGAUGAAUUUAUACGAUGGUUAGCUGUUCAUGGAUUAGCUGUACUGGAAUGA
rnacentral:rRNA from 1 species